rnacentral:rRNA from 1 species
GACGAACGCUGGCGGCGUGCUUAACACAUGCAAGUCGAACGGAAAGGCCCUGCUUUUGUGGGGUGCUCGAGUGGCGAACGGGUGAGUAACACGUGAGUAACCUGCCCUUGACUUUGGGAUAACUUCAGGAAACUGGGGCUAAUACCGGAUAGGAGCUCCUGCUGCAUGGUGGGGGUUGGAAAGUUUCGGCGGUUGGGGAUGGACUCGCGGCUUAUCAGCUUGUUGGUGGGGUAGUGGCUUACCAAGGCUUUGACGGGUAGCCGGCCUGAGAGGGUUACCGGCCACAUUGGGACUGCGAUACGGCCCAGACUCCUACGGGAGGCAGCAGUGGGGAAUAUUGCACAAUGGGCGGAAGCCUGAUGCAGCAACGCCGCGUGCGUGAUGACGGCCUUCGGGUUGUAAACCGCUUUCGCCUGUGACGAAGCGUGAGUGACGGUAAUGGGUAAAGAAGCACCGGCUAACUACGUG